UGUCUUUAGACUCGUGUCGUAUAAAUGCGUCAGCCAGCGCCUUCCGCCUGAUUGUUUUGUGUCGUUUCGUGCCAUGUGAGAUAAAUAUGAAGCAGGCAGUAAAUUUGGAUUUCUUGAGAUAAGAGUGGAAGUAUGGAAUAAAGGUAAAUUUACUAGCAUCUGAAAAGAUUACCUGCAUUUGAAAUUGCAAUGUAUGGAGUGGAUUUGACUAAACGGAGUAGAAAGUGCGGAGAUGAAUGGCAUUUGAUCUUUUGGACACAAAUCUGAAAAUUUUGUUGCGGUAUUAGCGAAACAAAUCCACCUCUUCCAAGUUGAUAUUUCACUGGAGUAACUGGGAAUUCGAUGGUUGAAAUUCAAGUUGUCAAAUAAACCUGAGUGUUCAGAUUGGAUUGGUAUGACUGAAAUUGCACCUGUCAAAUUGUGUAGUGGAGAUCAAGAAAAGGAUCUGAAUUGUGAAGUUAUGUUGAAAACAUUAUUUAAGCAUAUGUCAUCUAAAAGAAAAUAAGACGAACCAUCUAUCUGGGCUGCUUUUCAGAGGUAUCAUUAGACAUUCCCUCUGAUGCGACACGUUGCCAAAUCCUUAAGACAGUGACAAAAAAUUCACUAUGGAUGUUCCAUGCUCAAGAUUUACAGGCCUCUUGUCCACUCAAAGCUGGAUUAUGGAUGUGUUGUGUAAAUAAUUAUGCAUGAUGAUCUACUCUUCAGAUGCUGGAUCAAAUCCACCAUCACAUACUGCUUGAUUGCUCUGCCUUCAAGACCAGGCGUAGACAGUAUUUUGGGACAGAGAUUCUGGUCCAGUGGCUCAAUCUUUAUAAUGUAUUGGACUUUUUAAAGGUCACUAAUUUGUAUAAAGAGAUUUAUUUAUUUUUCA